AAGGCUAUAGUCAAUUUAUGACAUAUGAGUUGCAUUCAUAAGGAGUUUUUCUAAAACUAGCUUUA
rnacentral:tRNA from 1 species